AUUAGCUUGUUGGUGAGGUAAAAGCUCACCAAGGCAUCGAUGCCUAGGGGUUCUGAGAGGAUGAUCCCCCACACUGGUACAGAGACACGGACCAGACUCCUACGGGAGGCAGCAGUGAGGAAUAUUGGUCAAUGGGCGCAAGCCUGAACCAGCCAUCCCGCGUGAAGGAAGACGGCCUAUGGGUUGUAAACUUCUUUUCUGUCCCAAGAACGGCUCUUACGAGUAAGGGUGUGACGGUAGGACAGGAAUAAGCAUCGGCUAACUCCGUGCCAGCAGCCGCGGUAAUACGGAGGAUGCAAGCGUUAUCCGGAUUCAUUGGGUUUAAAGGGUACGUAGGUGGCCCUGUAAGUCAGUGGUGAAAUCCUGCCGCUUAACGGUAGAACUGCCAUUGAAACUGCAGGGCUUGAGUACAGUUGAGGUAAGCGGAAUGUGUAGUGUAGCGGUGAAAUGCUUAGAUAUUACACAGAACUCCGAUUGCGAAGGCAGCUUACUAAACUGUAACUGACACUGAGGUACGAAAGCGUGGGGAGCGAACAGGAUUAGAUACCCUGGUAGUCCACGCUGU
rnacentral:rRNA from 1 species